rnacentral:misc_RNA from 1 species
AUAAUAUUAUGUUUUCAAUUUAUUUUUGUAUCCUUAUUGUUAUUGUCCAACUAUUUCAGUAUUGAACUUAUCUUUUGCAUUGAGUGUUAUGGGCUUCCUGAUUAUGCACAUCUCAUUGGUACUAGCCAAUACAACCACCAUUGAGGCAUAUNCCAUUGAGGUGAUGCCUUCUGCCAUAUAUGGUUAGCUUUCUUUCCCUCAAAUUAGUAAAGG